rnacentral:misc_RNA from 1 species
AAUGCACAAGAAGUAAUUGAAUGAGCGAGCCUCUCUUGUGACUUCAGUUUGGCUUUGAGAGCUCUCGUACAAAGUUGGAAUAUAUAUGUUUAUAAUUCGCUGAUUAAACUGUGUUCAUUUAUAUGUCUGAAUGUUUUUUAAAUGAAUCAUUUAUUAAUUGAAUAAAAUAAUAAAUAAUUUUGACUACUUAAAUCUAUAAAAAAAUGAAAUCAAAUUUUUUAAUUCUACAUACGUUGCUAGUUGUUAUUUUCUUCGACAGUGUUUUAGCGCGUUUAAUUUCUCAUAAUGAUGGAUUUACCCUUAGAGUUAUUCACACAAACGACAUGCAUUCCAGAUUUGAACAGACAUCGGCAAUUGCUACAGAAUGCCAAACAGCAAAUGAAACUGAAAGAAAAUGUUACGGUGGCUUCGCUCGCCUCGCAACUUUGAUAAGGGAAGCACGGACAUCUAAUAUUCCAACCCUUUUCCUCAAUGCUGGUGAUACCUACCAAGGUACUGCUUGGUUCAGUGUACACAAAUGGAAGAUUGUAUCAAAGUUUUUGAACAUUCUCAAACCAGAUGCCAUGUCUUUAGGGAAUCACGAAUUUGACGAUGGUCCAGAUGGUUUAGUACCUUUCAUUAGAGAAGCAACAUUUCCUAUUGUAACAGCCAAUUUAGAUCUUUCCAAUGAAACUGAAUUGGCAGCUACACCGUUAAAAAAAAGUAUUAUUCUCAAUGUGAAAGGUCACAAAAUUGGUAUCAUUGGAUAUGUCACACCACAGACGGAGUUGAUUUCUUUUUCAAGAAACGUUAAAUUUCUCGAUGAAAUUACAGAAAUACGGAAAGAAGUAAAAAAACUACAAUCUCAAGGAAUAAAAAUUUUAAUUGCUGUUGGUCACUCUGGUUUUGCUGUUGACAAAAAAAUUGCUGCUGAAGUUGAUGGGAUUGAUUUAGUCAUUGGUGGACACACGAAUACUUUUCUGUAUACUGGAAUACAUCCAGACAUUGAAAUUCCAGAAGGACUUUAUCCUACUGAAAUAAUGCAAGAAAGUGGUAAAAAAGCUUAUGUUGUUCAAGCAUAUGCUUACACGAAAUAUUUGGAGAAUCUCACAAUCGAUUUUGACCACAAUGGAGCUAUCGAAAGUAUUUUUGGUGAUCCAAUUCUACUCGACAGUAGCAUCAAAGAAGCACAAGAUGUUUUGGCUGAACUUGAAAAAUGGCGACCUGCUUUAGAUGAUUUAGCAAAACAGGAAGUCGGUUCAACAACUGUUUUAAUUGACGGAGAUAGUAAAAGUUGCAGGAGACAAGAGUGUAAUUUCGGUAAUCUUAUUACGGAUGCUAUCGUCAACUAUCACGCAAACCAAUACUCUAAGACCGAUGGAUGGACUGAUGCACCAAUUGCUUUUGUAAAUGCUGGAGGCAUUAGAUCAUCGAUUGAUAGAACUCCCAGUGACAUGAUUAUGAUGAGUGAUGUUCUUGCUGCACUGCCAUUCAAUACAAGUGUAGUUAAAUUAGAAAUAUUGGGGGAGGUGCUUUUGGAAGUACUUGAAUGGAGUGUAUACACACUUGAUGAAGGAGAUACAAGCAAUCUUAAUGGAGCGUUUUUGCAGUAUUCGGGAAUUCAGUGUGCUUACAGGUCAUUUUUUGAGAAAUGGCGGAGAUGGUUAUAAAAUGCUAGUAAAUCUCAAAUGGAGUUCAGAAGGCAUUACUACAGACGCAGUUCUAAGUUUUUCGGUCAUAUUCAUAAUCUACAAAUGGGACUCUCAUAAUUUUCUCAAAAAAAUAAUGUCGUAUUCAAUAGAUCAUGCACCGGACAUAAAAAAUGUUG